rnacentral:rRNA from 1 species
UAGUCUACGCCGUAAACGAUGGUUACUAGCUGUCCGGCCUAAUUGAGGGCUGGGUGGUUAAGCGAAAGUGAUAAGUAACCCACCUGGGGAGUACGUUCGCAAGAAUGAAACUCAAAGGAAUUGACGGGGGCCCGCACAAGCGGUGGAGCAUGUGGUUUAAUUCGAUGAUACGCGAGGAACCUUACCAGGGCUUAAAUGCAGUCUGACAGGUCUGGAAGCAGACCCUUCUUCGGACAGAUUGCAAGGUGCUGCAUGGUUGUCGUCAGCUCGUGCCGUGAGGUGUCAGGUUAAGUCCUAUAACGAGCGCAACCCCUGUUGUUAGUUGCCAGCGAGUCAUGUCGGGAACUCUAACGAGACUGCCGGUGCAAACCGCGAGGAAGGUGGGGAUGACGUCAAAUCAUCACGGCCCUUACGUCCUGGGCCACACACGUGCUACAAUGGUAGGGACAGAGGGCAGCUACCCCGCGAGGGGAUGCGAAUCUUCAAACCCUAUCACAGUUCGGAUCGCAGU